rnacentral:rRNA from 1 species
UACGUAGGGCGCGAGCGUUGUCCGGAAUCAUUGGGCGUAAAGAGCUCGUAGGCGGCCGGUUGCGUCUGCUGUGAAAUCCCGGGGCUUAACCCCGGGCGUGCAGUGGAUACGGGCAGACUAGAGGCAGGUAGGGGAGAAUGGAAUUCCCGGUGUAGCGGUGAAAUGCGCAGAUAUCGGGAGGAACACCGGUGGCGAAGGCGGUUCUCUGGGCCUGUACUGACGCUGAGGAGCGAAAGCGUGGGGAGCGAACAGG